CUGCUUUCUAGUAGACAAGCAUCUACUAGUAAUUGAUGAUUAGAUUAUGCCCAAACCCUCUAGUGGAAGGGGGAGGGAGUGAAUGUAUUCUAGCCAAAUCAUCUGUUGACUAGAAAACGGCUCUUCUCCUCUGCUCUCCAAGUGCAACAAGUUCCAGAUAGGUAGCAUAGCAGCAAAUUGUACAUACCUGGUGACCCCCUCAGGCAUUCUAAUGUUCUCCAAAUAGAAACCUAACUAACCUUCAGUAAGGCAGAUUUUUUUAAAAAAGCCCAACUUCAUCUGCCUGUAUAUGUUCUCAGUGAUAUUUUUUAUGAAUCCUAAGACCUAUAAAAGCUCAAAAUGCAGAUUUUGCAUCAAACCAUUUAUCGUAAAACAUUGAGGUGCAGUUUUUAUACACAAAACUUUCUAUCUUUUUAAGAAUUCUGUUUGUAUGGCUUAUUGCCUAAUAAUUUUUGAUAUUCAUGUAAUCUCAGUAAGCGUCUUUUCUUAGAAAUAUGUGUAUAUAUAUUCUAUUCUGUUAGAUUCUGAGCUACUUUUUAAUGUUUACCUUACAGUGAGAUUCUCCCAACUGAAAGCAAGUGGAGUUUAUUUUUUUCAAUCUUGAUUGUUGAGAGAGAGAACUUCUGGUUUAAGGUAGUGAUAGGUUGACAUUUCUUGAUAUUUCCUUCCCAAAUUGGAAUUUGCUAUUGAAGACAUUUAAAAAGUAUAAAAAACUAAGAUAUAAACACUAAACAUUUGUGAAAAACACAGUUAACAGUCAGCCAUUUGAAGGGCCUGAGAAAAUUUUCUGUUACUCUAAUAUCAUUUAAUGAAGCUCUAUUAGGAAGGCCCUUGUAGUUUUCACUUUGAGAAAAGUAUGUUUCAGUUGGCUAACAAGUAAGUAGAAUGCACUAAGUCAGACAGCCAUUAUUUUUAUCUAAGGCAGUCAGUUAUUUCUGUCCUCAUUCAGUCUGCUGUCAGUGUUUCUCUUUCUUCAUCCAUUCAGAGAUUAUUAUUCCCAGUAAACAAGAAAUAGAGGGAGAUGGGCAAAUGAUAUCUUUUAUCCUUAAAUAUGUGGUUUUAUCACAAACAAAGCCAGAUAAAGACCAGAAAUAGCCCUAGAAGUACACAGUAAGGGUUAGUUUUUUUAUAUACGAUAUUUGUCUGAAUUAAACUCCAGCCUACUUCAAAUCCUGUAUAGCAUAAAUUAUCAUCAUUGUCAAGAGAACUGGGCGUUGAGAAAAGGAGAAAAGCACACCUGGAUUCAGCAGAACGACAUUAAAUUAUUAUGUCUUUAAUAUAUCUGAGAUAUCUCAGGGAGUGAAGCCAUUAACUGUGGCUCCUCCCUUUCUCUCAAAAUGAACUGGAGCUGGAUCAAUUUCUUCUUAUCAAAGAUUAGUCUAUAGAAACCAAAAUCCACAUGAGCCCCAUAAAAAUUGCACUUUACAGUGAAAAUAACAGUUACUCUAAAUUCAGAAUAAAGGCAUAUCUUAGAAAAUGAUGUAUUACAAGAACCAAAGAAACAUUUUGAAACAUCAUUUAGUGGCCUAAAAAAGAGGCAAGAAUUCCUGGCUAUUAUAAACAGGAGAAUGGAGCCAAAAUAAAUGUAGGCUUAGAGGAAAAA
ensembl:lncRNA novel transcript, sense intronic to KIAA1468